CAGGACCGGAGCGUCACUGCAAAGGAAAGAAAAGGCGCUUGAUUGACCCCCAGAUCCGGUCUAGAACAAAGGAGAACGUUGACACCAAUCUGUGAAAGGAAGAGUAAUACUAACGCCAUAUCUUGAUUUGGAGGAAAUCAAUAUGGAGAAACAUUACUCACCAAAAGGAGAUUACUUGUUCGGGCUUCCCAAGAAUUUCUGCUAACACUACCUCCCACACCACUCCAGAAUAAGUUAGAACCUAUGGGAAAAAAAGAAGCAUGAGGUAGCCAAUUACUUACUAUUAAAAUGAAGAAUCUGAUGAGCUCAUCAUCAGCCUCAGAUUUCAUGGAGACUUCUAAAGCAGUGAAAACUCUUGUAUGUUAGCAUCUAAACACGUCCUUAUACCAAAAUAAGAUGUGGUUGAUAAUAAUAAUGAACAAGCAAUAAUGAACAAGUAGCAGAGGCACUCCUGGCCCUCAUAAUGGACUUUAUAGUGGAUGGGAAUAAAUCGCAUUACAGAAAUGGCCAAAAUUUCCAGACGUAGCUACUGUGUGCAGUACAAAGUAAGUAAGAGUAUAGUAAGUAAUAGUUGCACUACUUCUUGUCCCAUACACUGAAUGGAAGAAUGGACCUACCACGAAGUCUGUCGUCAUUUUCAGAGAAAAAGAAAAAUCUAAUGGUCUCGUUCUCAGGAACCGCUUCUCUGAAAACAAGAGGGAGAAGAGGCAGAAAUCACUUUCAAUAUAUAAGAAGAAAUGAUUACAGCUGGUGACAGUGUGUGCUUAUAGUUUGGAAAGCAGAGCAGAAGGAUGAGGAAUUCCAGGCAGCCUUGGCUAUAUGAUGAGUUCAAGAGAACUUUAGGCAAUAUAAGCCUGGUCUAAAACAAAAAACAAGAAACCCAAGAAACAAGCAAAAUAAAAAUAGGAGAAAUAA